rnacentral:rRNA from 1 species
AGCGAACGCUGGCGGCAGGCCUAACACAUGCAAGUCGAACGAAGUCUUCGGACUUAGUGGCGGACGGGUGAGUAACACGUGGGAACGUGCCUUUAGGUUCGGAAUAACUCAGGGAAACUUGUGCUAAUACCGAAUGUGCCCUUCGGGGGAAAGAUUUAUCGCCUUUAGAGCGGCCCGCGUCUGAUUAGCUAGUUGGUGAGGUAAAGGCUCACCAAGGCUACGAUCAGUAGCUGGUCUGAGAGGAUGACCAGCCACAUUGGGACUGAGACACGGCCCAAACUCCUACGGGAGGCAGCAGUGGGGAAUAUUGCGCAAUGGGCGAAAGCCUGACGCAGCCAUGCCGCGUGGAUGAUGAAGGUCUUAGGAUUGUAAAAUCCUUUCACCGGUGAAGAUAAUGACUGUAGCCGGAUAAGAAGCCCCGGCUAACUUCGUGCCAGCAGCCGCCGUAA